ACCCGGAGGAUGAUGAUGAAAUCGUCGAAAUUGCUGGCCUGGGCAGUGGCCGCUGCCGCCGUCGUGGCGGUACCGCUGGUGAUGGCGCAGAGCGCCGCCAACAAGGGCAAGACGGCCGAAGCCGCACAGGAUGCGUCCGCCGACAAGGCGAAGGCCGAGGCCGAGCAGAAGGCCCGGCGCCGUGCCGCGGCCGCCGCGCAGCAGAAGGCCCGGGGCGAGCAGCCGGCCCCGCGCGAGGAAGAGGAAGAAGAGGAAGCCCGCAAGCGUCGCUGACGCGGGUUUCCCGAUGGUGGAUGGACGCCCCGGCGCUGGCCGGGGCGUCUUUUUUUUGAGGUCGCCGCAU
rnacentral:sRNA from 1 species